UACGGAGGGAGCAAGCGUUACUCGGAAUUACUGGGCGUAAAGGGCGCGUAGGCGGCCUGUUAAGUCGAACGUGAAAUCCCCGGGCUCAACCCGGGAACUGCGUCCGAUACUGGCAGGCUUGAAUCCGGGAGAGGGAUGCGGAAUUCCAGGUGUAGCGGUGAAAUGCGUAGAUAUCUGGAGGAACACCGGUGGCGAAGGCGGCAUCCUGGACCGGCAUUGACGCUGAGGCGCGAAAGCCAGGGGAGCAAACGGG
rnacentral:rRNA from 1 species